rnacentral:rRNA from 1 species
CAAGCGCGAGCGUUAAUCGGAAUUACUGGGCGUAAAGCGUGCGUAGGCGGCCUGUUAAGUCAGAUGUGAAAGCCCUGGGCUCAACCUGGGAACGGCAUUUGAAACUGGCAAGCUAGAGUUAGGUAGAGGGGAGUGGAAUUUCAGGUGUAGCGGUGAAAUGCGUAGAUAUCUGAAGGAACACCAGUGGCGAAGGCGGCUUCCUGGACCCAAACUGACGCUGAGGUACGAAAGCGUGGGUAGCAAACGGGAUUAGAUACCCCGGUAGUCCACGCCGUAAACGAUGUCGACUAGCCGUUGGGCUCCUUAAUAGAGUUUAGUGGCGCAGCUAACGCAUUAAGUCGACCGCCUGGGGAGUACGGCCGCAAGGUUAAAACUCAAAUGAAUUGACGGGGGCCCGCACAAGCGGUGGAGCAUGUGGUUUA